UUAGGAAAUACUGAGAGUCCAUUCUGUAUGUGUCUCCUCAUCUGGCCUGGAAAGAGAUGUUUCAUUAUGCCUGCCUUCCAUACAUACACUCAUUUAGCAACUGUGACAAAGAGCUUUACUCUUACAUGUCUGGGGCACCCUGGGCCUCCUCCCACCAGUCUCUCUUCCCUUUCUCUCUUCCCCUUUCCCUAUCUAGUUACCUCUGAACCCUUUCUGACAGCAGUGCUUCUAAAGGUCCUUUAUUUGUCCUCUUGCUGUCUCCAGCGCCUCUGCCCCCAUCACCUUUCACCUGGACCAAAUCCUAAUACGUCUUCUUCCAAUCCAAGUCUCCGCCAUCCAUCCACCCUCACACCACAGCCAAAAGCGCCCGUCUGACCCUGCCAUGCCCCAGCGCACAGGAUAAAGUCCAAGACUCUCGCGAGACUCUAAAGGCAUCUGGCAGCUGUUCCGUGCUAAAGUUUCCGAACGCAAUCACUGGCAGAGUCGGGAUGCCGGGGUCUUAUUUCUCAAGCCUGGUGUCUUCUUCGUGCAUCCGACUGCCCGCCUCUGCAUAGGAGUUUUCAGCCCACAUAGGGCGCCUGCAGAACCGGCUCCCACCUCUCCAGCACGUGCAUUUUGAAUAAAUGACCCGGCAUGGAUGAAGCUAUUUGAGAGACGCUUAAUGUCCCUCAGUUUGGCUAUCAGACAGUUGAAACCAAGGACCCCAGGAAACAGGAAUUCCCUCCAGAAGUCCCGUGAUGGGAGAAGAAAAGCUUGACGCUUGAACUAGUCGGAGAGGACAUUUCCACACAAAGGGAUUUACAACUUUUUAGAAAAGAAAAUGAUAGACCAACAGUCGGGAGGAUCACUCCUUGACCAGGACUAGUUAGGUACAUGUAACUUGACCAUCUACUUAAACCUUACCCUUACUUCAGGACCCCGAGGAUGGACUUGAGGGAGGUCCCUGGAUCUCUUUGUCCCACUUCCCAACAUGGCCACAUGGAAUAGAUUUCUUUUUUUUUUUCCUGCUAAUUUGGCUGUUUCAACCUGCUUAUGGGAGGUGGGUGACUAAACUUGACUUGAUGGAGCCUAGGCUGUGACCCCAAGGACACAGAACGUCAUCAAUCAGACCCGACAUGGAUCGGGAUCUUGUGUUCUUGAACACAUGAUGCAGGAGGUCAUAGCUUGAGCCAGGGAUACAGUGUUUAGUAGGUGCCAAUGCCACGUAGCCAUGGCUGCGCUGUCUUCACUUUGGUUCUCUCGCAAGAAGCAGGUGACAGACACUAGGGAGGGGCUGGUGACUCAUGGGCUGAGCUCCCGUCUGGAUCAGCUCAAGCAGUACUGCCAUCUCCAGCUUAACCUUCUGUAAGGAGCGACACAUCCCCUUGCCAGGGACAUGGGACGAAUCCUGAGAUCCUGGCCCAUCCUGGCCCUGGGUAUUUCUGGUUCAAAGGAAUGGAACCACUUGGAGUUGACCUGUGUGGGACCUUGAGCCUGGAGCCCUGCCUAGCUGGUCAGGUCAAGGCUGACUUUCACGUCCACUAGCAAGAAAAGCAUAGAUAUUUGUCGUCCUCAGCCGCUGAGAUUUUGAGGUGGUUUGUAACACUUCAAGCAAAUGAACUAAUUAGAAAGUAAAGUAGG